GGCCUCCUUCUUCUCACUACUGGACCCUGUGUUGCCAGGCUGUAUGGGUGGAAUGCAGAUGUAACGGAUGGAGUCAAGCAGCUGUCUUGGACUAUGAGGUGGGAAGCAAGAAAGGGUUCACGGUCAUCGACC